UACGUAGGUGGCGAGCGUUGUCCGGAUUUACUGGGCGUAAAGAGCGCGCAGGCGGUCGAUCAAGUCGAGUGUGAAAGCCCCGGCUCAACUGGGGAGGUCAUUCGAUACUGAUCGACUCGAAGGCAGGAGAGGGUAGUGGAAUUCCCGGUGUAGUGGUGAAAUGCGUAGAUAUCGGGAGGAACACCAGUGGCGAAGGCGACUACCUGGCCUGUUCUUGACGCUGAGGCGCGAAAGCUAGGGGAGCAAACGGG
rnacentral:rRNA from 1 species